rnacentral:misc_RNA from 1 species
UGGGAAGGGAGAGUGAAUGGAGGAGAUUGUAAUCUGACAUCUUCUUCUUCUUCGUCGGGUUGUACUAGUAUGAGUGCUGGAGGAGGAACCACUUAUAUACAACACACCGUUUCUAAAUUUGAUACGCUUGCUGGUGUAGCUAUCAGAUAUGGUGUUGAGGUGGCUGAUAUUAAAAGGAUAAAUGGCCUCGUUUCAGAUCUCCAAAUGUUUGCUCUCAAAACACUUCAUAUACCCUUACCUGGGCGGCAUCCCCCAUCGCCCAUCAUAUCAAAUGGUGGUCAAGGACCUAGCAGCUCUGAG